UUAAAUAAAAAUCGGUGUUGUUGCUGCCUUUGGUGACGCGUCGGAAUUGAGUCGUCUUAUCUUCGGUUAAGUGACUUAAAAUUUUAUAUGAUUUUCGAACGUAUUUAAAUUUGCUUACUUACGUUUGAGAUAUCGAAUAUUUUAUUAGGUUCGGUCAUCCUCAUGACUCGCGCCUAUAAUUUUUUCAUU
rnacentral:misc_RNA from 1 species